CGAACACCGGACGAGCGAACGGAGACUACAUGCAACAAGUGGUGACCCCGACGUGAUCUGUCUGCUGAGGGUGGCUGCCCGGCGUGCCCGUGACGCGGAGAAGAGCCUGUGAGGUGGCGGCAGGUCGCAUACGUAACAAUGGACCAAGUCAUUAAGGUACUUGUGCAGUUUUGUAAGGACUACUGUGUAAAAUCUGCUCCUUCCCGGAAGGAGAUCGCGGCAGUUUUGUCGCUGUUAAAUGAGCUGGGGGAGCUGGACUCUCCCCGCUACGUUUUGGAUUCGAGUAGGUGGGACUUGCUCACCUCGGUGCUAUGCCAGCGCACCAUGGCCAGUCAGAAGGCUACGGAACUUAAAACGUGGGGACUGAUAUUAGGAGCCCUUAAAGCGGCCAGAGUUGAGGGAAAGGUAUUGGUGGAGGCUCGAUACCUUUUGGGUCUCAGCGGAGGAGGUGAGACACAGGACCCGGUCGGGUCCGAUGGGGGUUCGGGAGCAGUUUCUUGCAGGGGCCGAGAGGAGACGGAGCCGCCAAUGACCGUUGGCGGGAUGGUGCCGGCUGAGCCGACCGCGCUCAGUUCAAAAGAAGACAAACAACAAGAGAGUGAAAGUUUGUUGUCUCGUCCCCCUCCCCCGUAUCCGAACCCCUCAGGCGGAACGUUGUAUCCUUUAUCAGAAUUACGUCAGUGUUACCUGACUCAAGGGGGCGGAGGAAGCUGUGAUCUACAUGGGCAGGAUCAACUUAGUGCCCACAUGGGGAGGGACCAGACAAAAGGUCCGUCCAAUGCGGACAGGGGGCAUAGCCUACUGUCUCUGGUCACUCCCAGGGGCGGUAGUGCGAGUGAUAGUGUAGAAGAGAAAGAAGGGACUGGCUUUGAGUGCAGGGGGAGGGAUCAAAUGACGGACUGGAAUGGGAUUAGAUCGGAGGCUUUGGGAAAGGGUAUAGUUCCAGAGGCAUUCCAGACCGAAGCCAACUCCAGAACAACUGAGGGACAGACGAUGGGAUCAAGAACCACUCGUCAAGAGGAGCACUACACCUGCAACGCUGACACUUCCAAUGUUGCUGAUAUUUAUGGUGUCCAUGGCGAUUACAGAGUGUCACAAACAACUACAAUGGACGCAAGAACAUAUGCAGAAGAUUAAAGUGAUCCCUUUGGAAGCUGGCUGGACGGACUGUUUGGGGGAACGGGUUCAUGGUUAAAGCAAUUGCUUAAAGCUCUCGCAGUAGGAUUUGCAAUCUUUGUGUGUAUUCUAAUCUGUCUUCCAUGCUUUGUAGGAUGCUUGCCUUCAACGAAUGAUGGACAAGACUUUUGACUAUCACAUUGAGUAUCAUAGAUUGCGUGAAAAAUUAUAGAGGGGUUUAGGUUGUUGCGUUCGUGCUGUAACGGGGCAAGGCUUGGCCGAGCACGGAAAAGAAUUCCCUGUUGCUCUGAUGAUUGCUUAAGAACUGUAGUAGAAAAUAGUAGGAAUAGUGUGCUGAAAUAUAUUUAGGAUUAGGCGUUUUGCGCUGCUUCGCGAUGUACGGGUUAGGUGUGUGUGUAAGUAGUAUUUAGCUUAGGGAAGGGGAGAUGUUGUAGUAGGCGUCUUGCGGGGGCACGGGAUGUACGGGACAGGCCUCUCCCUAAACAUAGAGAGAUAGUGCUAUCGUGCUGACCUUGUUGCAGAGAAAACAGGAGAAGAAGAAGGAUGAUAAAAGAAUGUGGAAAUGGCCAAAUAAGGCACAAUGUUAUCUGGUGUGAACUAAUCAGAGUGGGACAUGACAGCACGGUUAUCUAGGUAAAAAUGUAUAUAAGCUGUGUUUAGUAGUGAAUAAACGCCAUUUGCCUCACUUACUCCUGGGGUCUGGGUGAGCAUCUGGCCCCGACCUGGUAAAGGGUCGGUUUCGCCCAGCAGUAAGCCCUACAUGUGGACAGAGGACGAACACCGGACGAGCGAACGGAGACUACAUGCAACAGUUACUUU
ensembl:lncRNA